rnacentral:rRNA from 1 species
UAGGGAAUCUUCCACAAUGGACGAAGGUCUGAUGGAGCAACGCCGCGUGAGUGAAGAAGGGUUUCGGCUCGUAAAACUCUGUUGUUAAAGAAGAACAUAUCUGAGAGUAACUGUUCAGGUAUUGACGGUAUUUAACCAGAAAGCCACGGCUAACUACGUGCCAG